GACGAACGCUGGCGGCGUGCCUAAUACAUGCAAGUCGAGCGAAUUUACGAGAGCUUGCUCUCGUGAAUUAGCGGCGGACGGGUGAGUAACACGUGGGCAACCUGCCUAUAAGACUGGGAUAACUUCGGGAAACCGAAGCUAAUACCGGAUAAUUCACAUCUACUCAUGUAGAUGUGCUGAAAGACGGUUUACGCUGUCACUUAUAGAUGGGCCCGCGGCGCAUUAGCUAGUUGGUGAGGUAACGGCUCACCAAGGCCACGAUGCGUAGCCGACCUGAGAGGGUGAUCGGCCACACUGGGACUGAGACACGGCCCAGACUCCUACGGGAGCAGCAGUAGGGAAUCUUCCGCAAUGGACGAAAGUCUGACGGAGCAACGCGCGUGAGUGAUUAGGUU
rnacentral:rRNA from 1 species